GGCUAGAUGGUGUAGCAGGUAACACCCUUGCUAUAUAUGCAAAAGCCCUGGCUUCAAUUCCCACUCUGGCUA